ACAGCAGUAGCCGCGGGAAUACGUAGGGUGCGAGCGUUAAUCGGAAUUACUGGGCGUAAAGCGUGCGUAGGCGGUUUGUUAAGUCUGUUGUGAAAUCCCCGGGCUCAACCUGGGAAUGGCAAUGGAUACUGGCAAGCUAGAGUGUGUCAGAGGAUGGUGGAAUUCCCGGUGUAGCGGUGAAAUGCGUAGAGAUCGGGAGGAACAUCAGUGGCGAAGGCAGCCACCUGGUCCACUUCUGACGCUGAGGCGCGAAAGCGUGGGGAGCAAACCGGAUUAGAUACCCCCGUAGUCCCUGUCUCUUAUAC
rnacentral:rRNA from 1 species